rnacentral:rRNA from 1 species
GACGAAGGGGGCUAGCGUUGUUCGGAAUUACUGGGCGUAAAGCGCGUGUAGGCGGUUGUCCAAGUUGGAUGUGAAAGUCUUGAGCUUAACUCAAGAAAUGCAUUCAGGACUGGAUGACUAGAGGACCGGAGAGGAUAGUGGAAUUCCCAGUGUAGUGGUGAAAUACGUAGAGAUUGGGAAGAACACCAGUGGCGAAGGCGGCUAUCUGGACGGUUUCUGACGCUAAGACGCGAAAGCGUGGGGAGCAAACAGG